CACUCUGGUUCUCCUUCAGAACGCAUAAAUCUUUCGCCUUUUACUAAAGAUUUCCGUGGAGGAGAGCGUACAAGGAGUCUACAUGAAUUUUUGUAGGUCCCCUAAGGGACCG